GUUUAGAUCCCACUGGGACAUAGACACAAAUGAUGUGCUACUGGGGAACACAAAAGAACAGCAAUCCAAGCUACAAAUUGAAUGCUAAAGUAUUCCUAAACUCUUGAGAUCAGCUCAUUGAUUUAUGGGAAGGACUGAUGUCAGAUGUGAUGCUUCUUGACAUAUAAACUACUGGCUGUUUGUCCUAGAAACCUCCAGAUACUGAGCAGAUCAAUCCAGGAUAACACUAAUAAACAGCCAAGGAAUCUGCACUUUGGACAUUUUUCUCCAUGGACAUCAACCUGCGGAGGCAGAGAUACCCAGCUCACCUUGCCAUCUCAGAAAUGAAGUUUACCCUUCUGCCAGAGCUGCACGUGGGGACUCUUGGCCCCGUGUCCCCAGGGCCCAGUGACAGAGGCCUCCCAGUAGAGGUGCUGGAUACAAACAUUUUAUAGCCUAAUUUUGCAAUAAGACCUUGGGGAAAAUUUGUUUUUGUUUUGUUUUUCUGCUGAUCCCUUUCUUCCCUUUCUCAA